GUCCUCCUCAUGGCAGCAGCAUUCUGACAUCACAGGGGCAGAGCCAGAGCAUUGACAAGAUCACUCUCGAUGGCAGCAGAGGUGCAGUCCGGCAAAAUUGUGUCUGAUAUGGAUGUACAUAUGCAGUAAGAAACUUGGUCAAGAAAGGAUGAGAAAAUGGCUUCUUUUGGUGAUUCUAUACUCCUAUGCUUUUACUUCUGCUGCAGCAAGAGGAAGACCCUGAGGCUGCUCUGUACUGCUUUGAAGCCUGUAUUGUACGUCUGCAUGUGUAUCUGAUGUCUAUCCAGGGGGGAAAUUAAAAGUUAUUGAUGUUUCACACUAAACUGCUCUCAU